UGGGGAAUAUUGCGCAAUGGGCGAAAGCCUGACGCAGCAACGCCGCGUGAGGGAUGAAUGCCUUCGGGUUGUAAACCUCUUUCAGCAGGGAAGAAGCGAAAGUGACGGUACCUGCAGAAGAAGCACCGGCUAACUACGUGCCAGCAGCCGCGGUAAUACGUAGGGUGCAAGCGUUGUCCGGAUUUAUUGGGCGUAAAGAGCUCGUAGGCGGUUUGUUACGUCGGAUGUGAAAUCCUGGAGCUUAACUCCGGGCCUGCAUUCGAUACGGGCAGACUAGAGUGUUGUAGGGGAGACUGGAACUCCUGGUGUAGCGGUGAAAUGCGCAGAUAUCAGGAAGAACACCGAUGGCGAAGGCAGGUCUCUGGGCAACUACUGACGCUGAGGAGCGAAAGCGUGGGGAGCAAACAGG
rnacentral:rRNA from 1 species